rnacentral:lncRNA from 1 species
UUUUAUUUUUCAGUUCCUUAAAAUAACUAAUUUGUGGGAGAGAAUUUAAAAUAAAAAUAUAUAAAAAAAGGGGGAAGGAAGUAAGUUACUUUUUUGAUCCACACUCCAUUCCAGUUGGUGGCGGAAAUACACCAUUUUGUUGUUUGUCAACCGCCAAUAAAAUUUCAAGACGACGACGACGACAGUACAACCUGCAGUGGCUGAAACAUGGCCUUGCCCAUGUGCUCAGACUCGUCUUUGUUGAGAAACUUGUGUUUUAUGCUCAACUGAAAAAGGUCUUUUUUCUCUGGAGAAUUAUGGUGCUUGAUAUGAAGACUGUGGAGGAAGUUUAAAUAAUGUCCUUUUGUUCACAAAGAUCUUCAUUUCAUCGUUUACCCGUCGUCCUUGUACGGGACUUCCAAUUUUCCAUGAACUUUGGUAUUGAUUACUACAGGCACAUGGAUUAAAGGUGGCAGCUGUUUUGGACUCUUUGGCACAAGGAAUGGAAUUCAGAUAAGACUUUAUUCCCUCUCUCAUUCUUAACUCAUCAUCCAUGGACAGUGACAUGAUUUGGAUUCUACCUUUAAGUGUGCUUUUGUGUGUUUGUUUCUGGUGUGAUUUGGGGAGUUGUUUCAAAUUUUCUUACUGAAUAUAAAAGACUGGUUUUGCAUUGAAUAAGUGACUCUUGAUUAAUGCCUUGUUGGGAUAAACUAUUUUAAUGUGAUAGGUUACCUUAAAAAAUUGUAUAGCAGUUUUUUUGGGCUUAGUUAGGCCUGAGACUUAUAACGUGACUUUUACUAUGGUUUAUCAUGCAUGCAGAUUAUAUUUUAAGUUAAGCUAAAAUCAGUGAAUUCAUAAGACUGGUACAGUGCCUAUCAGAGGAUCUGUCUAUGAGCAGAUAUAUUAGGGAUCUGCUGAUAGACGCGGCUUUCAAAUGCUCCCGUGUGUAUCUGUGUAAGCAGGGCUGGGCAAUAUGACAAAUCUUAUAUCACGAUAUGAGUAAUUUUAUUUCACGAUAAUAUAUAUCAAGUUAUUUUUGCUUCAUAUAAGGUCAAUGAUAUCAAAAUGUUUGAUACCAUAGAAUAAUCAAUUAUCGUCACCAGUGUCAAUAUCACAAACAACUAAUGCUAGCCUAAAAAAUUAAAAAUAAAAAACAACUCACUGAAGACAAGUAAACAGUCAGCAAUUAAAUAAGCAUUAGAAACUAAUUACAGGCAAUGACGACAAAAAACUACAGUAGAACAAUUAAAUAAGAAAUCAGGGCUCACAAAAUCGCUAGCCCGACGUCCCGGGGCUAUUGUGUUUUCCAGUCGGGCUACCAAAAUGUAUCACUGCCCUGCCCGAAGGCACUUAAAAAUGUAUGUCACCAUGUUUAGUACAUUCCACUUGCACCUGUGUCUUUUGCAGCUUCUUGAACAUAACGUGGUGUAGUAAUGAGGUGCUAGUUCAAAUUUAAAAAAAUGAUUCUACAAACCAAGUUUCAUCUGCAGAUAUGGUCUUGUUUAGGGAUCUGUGCCUUUGUGCAUACGGACAUCUGACUGCUAAGUAGGGA